UGUUUUCCAUUCAAGAAAUAUUUCAAGAAAACUGUGACUUUUCAAAUCUCAAUUAUCGUUUUGUCUUGUUUUGAAACAGAUACAGUAAAUUGUAAACCUUAAAACCAUCACCACAUCUCAAGUGAAACACUAUAGUACUAACUCUUUAUCGAAAGUUCACGGUCUACGCCCAUAUGUAAUUGACCUCUUUGUUUGUGACAUUUUAAGAUAUGAUAGAAAAGCUGAGAAAAACCGGUUUAGGAUAAUAUUUUGUUAAAAUUUCGAUUGUAUUAUCAGGAAAUUAAUACGUAUGCAACAUGUCAGUUUUAAAACGUAAAUGUAGCUCAAAUUCAUUUUCACAUAAAUGUGAUAAAUCAACUGCUAUUAAAAUUUACAGUGCGUAACAUGAUUAUAGUGCUUUGCGUUGUAAGCAAAUUCAAAUAUUCUUUUUUUUUUUUGAGAUCUUUUUCCCUAAUAAGGCAAAGUAUUAUCAACCAGUGUCUCAUAGUCCUGGUUAAAAAUAAAUUUCAAAACAAAUGAGACACAGUAAUAGGUUGCAUAAAAAUAUCAUUUUAGUUUUUUUGGAAGCAGGAAGUUUUAAGCGAAAAGCAAUUACCGCUACAAGAUGAUAGCGCUCAUCCACAACUAGCCUUCCUGUUAUAUCAAACCUCAAUUUCCAAAAUACUAUUUAAAACAUAAGAAACUUUAAAACUAAAUUAAGAGAUCUUUCUACAAUUGCCUGUAGAUAUUGAUUUU
rnacentral:lncRNA from 1 species